rnacentral:sRNA from 1 species
CGAGCAAAUGAGGCUUCCUCCUCUGUGGCGGGUUUCCCGCCGGAGGGAGCCGAUGUCCGAAAAUUUUAAAAGGCUAUCCCAAAAGUAGGGUUAGGC